rnacentral:rRNA from 1 species
UGAUUUAAAAUUGCCGCGGUAUUUUGACCGUGCAAAGGUAGCAUAAUAAUUAGUUUUUUUAUUGAAAGCUGGAAUGAAUGGUUGGACGAGAGAACUGCUGUCUCUAUUUAAUUUUAUUUUUAAUUUAACUUUUAAGUUAAAAGGCUUAAAUUUUUUUUAAAGACGAGAAGACCCUAUAGAGUUUCACAUUUCUUAUUUUAUUUUCUUUUUGGUAUUUAAUGGUUUUUAAUUUUUGAUUUGUUUGGUUGGGGUGACCAGAAGAUUUAAUAAACUCUUCUAUUAAAAUCAAUGAUUUUUGAAUUGAUAAUCUAGUUUUUCUAAAUUUAAGAUAAAUUACCUUAGGGAUAACAGCGUAAUUUCUUUUUAGAGUUCUUAUUGAAAGAGAAGUUUGNGACCUCNNAUGUUGAUUUAAAUUGCCGCGGUAU